GAUGAACGCUGACAGAAUGCUUAACACAUGCAAGUCAACUGUUGCGGACUUGCGAGUAACGCGUAAAGAACUUGCCUCACAGCUAGGGACAACAUUUUGAAACGAAUGCUAAUACCUGAUACUGUGAGAGAGCUUUGCGUCCCAUUAGCCAGUUGGAGAGGUAACGGCUCACCAAGGCGAGGAUGGCUAGCCGGCCUGACAGGGUGAUCGGCCACAAGGGGACAGGGAAACGGCCAUGAGUGAUACGGGAGGAAGGGGUGGGGGAUAUUGGAAAAUAGGCCAAAGUAUGAUCCAGCAAUUCUGUGUGCAAGAUGAAGUUGUCGGAAUGUAAAGUGCUUACAGUUGGGAAGCGGUACCAACAGAAGAAGUGACGGCUAAAUACGUGCCAGCAGCCGCGGUAAUAC
rnacentral:rRNA from 1 species